rnacentral:rRNA from 1 species
AUACAGAGGGUGCGAGCGUUAAUCGGAAUUACUGGGCGUAAAGCGCGCGUAGGCGGUCUAUUAAGUCAGAUGUGAAAUCCCAGGGCUCAACCUUGGAACUGCAUCUGAUACUGGUAGACUAGAGUUUUGGAGAGGGAAGUAGAAUUUCAGGUGUAGCGGUGAAAUGCAUAGAGAUCUGAAGGAAUACCAGUGGCGAAGGCGACUUCCUGGCCAAAAACUGACACUGAGGUGCGAAAGCGUGGGUAGCAAACGGGAUUAGAAACCCUAGUAGUCC